rnacentral:rRNA from 1 species
CAGGAGAGUAAGAUGCCAUCCUAUCAGUUAGUAAGUAGGGUAAGGGCCUACUUAGACGAAGACGGGUACGGGGAAUGAGGGUUUGAUUCCGGAGAGGGAGCCUGAGAGAUGGCUACCAGGACCAAGGUCAGCAGCAGGCGCGAAAAUUAUCGAAGCCCGCCUAGGGGCGAUAGUGAGGAGACGUGUAUAACGAAGUACGUGUAAAGAACGUGCUAAUAACUGGAGGUCAAGUCUGGUGCCAGCAUCCGCGGUAAUUCCAGCUCCAGGGGUGUCUAUGAUGAUUGCUGCGAUUAAAAAGUCCGUAGUCAAUCUGACUGACUGGCCUGCAAUGUGAUUGAUUAAAGAACGAGCAGGGUUAGGAAAGCAGAGAAUCAGGAGCGACCGAGGGCUAGAGUAUUGAAUGGCGAGAGGUGAAAUUUGAUGACCCAUUCAGGAGUGACAAAGGCGAAGGCACUAGUCAAGGGCGAAUCCGAUGAUCAAGGACGUAGGCUAGAGUUUCGAAAACGAUUAGAGACCGGAGUAGUUCUAGCAGUAAACUAUGCCGACGCCGUGGUAUCAUUUUGGUAUUGCGGAAGAGAAAUCAAGUAAGGCUUUGGGGAGAGUACGCGCGCAAGCGAUAAAUUUAAAGGAAAUUGACGGAGGAACACCACAAGGAGUGGAGUGUGCGGCUUAAUUUGACUCAACGCGGGACAGCUUACCAGGCCCGAUAAUCGAGCGAGCGUAGUACGCGAUAGGUUAAAGAGUGGUGCAUGGCUGCUAUCGACAGUUGGGGUGACCUUAGGGUUAAUUCCGGCAAGUAGUGAGACCCCUGCAGAUAGUGGACAGGUAUUUUUAAAAUACAGGAAGGAAGGGACAAGAGCAGGUCAGUGAUGCCCUUAGAUGGCCUGGGCUGCACGCGCACUACAGUGGUCAUUAUAAGUAGAAGUUAGAUAUAAAGAUGAUCGAGAGGGACUGAGCUUUGUA